UUGAAGAAGAAGAUGCAGAUGUCCUUUAUAGUUCAGUACAAGAACUACUGAAAGCUGCUGUUAUGGCAGAUGCUGAUAUUCUGUCAGAGACAUUUCAGCUUUUGAUAGAUUCUGUAAAGGAUCUUAGUAGAAAAUUUUGUGGUCUAAUUCCAGAUGGGCUUUAUCUACCAGCACCACCGCUAUACUGUCCUCAGCCAGCUUCUCUCAGUGAAGAAGACUGCAAUGACAUUGCUUUAAAAACUGAGAGAGAAAAUCGUCAGAAAGUAUCAGGAGUUCUUCAGCGAAUUAUCUUGCUCUUCCGGGCCACUUGUUGCUCCUUUCCUGCAGCACAGUGGUAUAUUUCACAGCUGAAGUGGGGCAGAAAAAUUAUGCAAAAAAUUCGAAUGAAAGGAUCUCUUCCUUCACUGAGCCCAUUCCCAGAGACUUUGCUUCGUUACUGCAAUUUCCAUACUGCUUUCUGGUCUGAAUCUACAUCUUCUGGAGACCAUCAACUUGAUGAUAUUUCCUGUAAAAUUUUAGGUUGGUUCAGAGAGCUGUGUGCGUUGUGUUGGAUGUUUCAUGUUCGUGAAAGAUUAUCUGACAGUUGUAGGCGGUACCAAGCUGCAAGGGAGAAUGCAAACAGCCAUAAGGAUCUUAAGAAGAAUGAAUAUGAUGCCUCCACAGUUGAGCAUUGUCUGAAUGCAGCAGAAUGGGCUUGCAGAAUGCUUCCUUUCUGCAGGUUCAUGAAUGUUGAAGAGUUAAUUCAAGAUGUAAUUCUGAGCCUGCUUGGAGAACUGCCACCAGUCAAAAAGGUGGCAGAAAUUUUUGUUAAAGCUUUUCCUAAUCCUGAAGAUGUGAGA
rnacentral:lncRNA from 1 species